rnacentral:lncRNA from 1 species
GGGCUAUACGGACUCGAACCGUAGACCUUCUCGGUAAAACAGAUCGAACUAAUUCUUAUCAAAAUGAUUCGAACUCUUUCAAAGACCCAACAUGCAUUUUUUUUUUUUGCAUUGGGCUCUUUCAUUAACUGAUAGAAAUAUCAGUUAGUCUACCAUAUUUUUUUCUUGACAGACAACUAAGGAAAUGGCUCCAUGUGCU